rnacentral:rRNA from 1 species
GACGAACGCUGGCGGCGUGCUUAACACAUGCAAGUCGAACGGAAAGACCCUGCUUUUGUGGGGUGCUCGAGUGGCCAACGGGUGAGUAACACGUGAGUAACCUGCCCUUGACUUUGGGAUAACUUCAGGAAACUGGGGCUAAUACCGGAUAGGAGCUCCUGCUGCAUGGUGGGGGUUGGAAAGUUUCGGCGGUUGGGGAUGGACUCGCGGCUUAUCAGCUUGUUGGUGGGGUAGUGGCUUACCAAGGCUUUGACGGGUAGCCGGCCUGAGAGGGUGACCGGCCACAUUGGGACUGAGAUACGGCCCAGACUCCUACGGGAGGCAGCAGUGGGGAAUAUUGCACAAUGGGCGGAAGCCUGAUGCAGCAACGCCGCGUGCGGGAUGACGGCCUUCGGGUUGUAAACCGCUUUCGCCUGUGACGAAGCGUGAGUGACGGUAAUGGGUAAAGAAGCACCGGCUAACUACGUG